CAGUUGAUUGAAGCUGUGUUAAAAGCCAAGUCUGGCAGUGAAGCAGUACUUCAGGAGUACCAAACAACAGAAACCCUAACAGAUAUCACAAGACGACAAAUGGUCAACAUACUGGUGGCUCACAUGAUUGAUAGUCAUGGAAACCUUCCCACUAAGGCAGUCAGAGAGGAAUAUGCUCUUGGCAUAGUGACACUGUUCCCGUCUCUCAAGGAUCCAUACACCAAGAAAGGCUAUGAACACUUCUAUGAUGCUGCUUGUAGUGACGACUAUGACUGGUUAAAUAUGGAUUAGCAAUCACUUCAGGGUGUCGGGUCAGGACAGCAAUUAUUCAUUCAGUGUCGUAAAAGUGAACUACACUCAAGCAACUCAAUGACACAAAAAGAAAACAAGCGUUUCAGAGACAGUCUUUUGUACACUGCUAGUAGCACAGGAUACAUUUCUUGGCGUCUGAAAACAGUCCAAAGGAAAAUUCGGCGUGGAUCUGAGGCGCCACCAAGUAGCUCUUUGAACCUUUCUUCAGGAGGCCCAAAGUUCCAAAGGAUUGUCAAUGUCGACAAUCAGCUUGAUGGGGAUGCUUGUCAAGAGGCAGUAUCUUUGCUCAACCAUACCACAGACAAUUCCGUGAUUCUCCAGAAGAUGAGAGAGACAUUUCAGCACCGUCAGAAGCUUGUUAAUGACCCAGGUACAAGUGGUGAUAUCCUCUCCAUCUUCCCAAGAUUCCUCGAUACAAAAGGAUUGGUAAGUUUGGAAUGAGAUGUUUGGAGCAGCCUGACAUUUGAAAGUAUUUCCUUCGGUGGUAGUUAAAUAUCUUCUUUCUUAAAGGUGGAGCAAGACUUCAUUCUCCUAUUUGAUGAUGAGACAUCCUCCAGGCUGCUUCAGAAGUGGGAUGUGUUCUUCAAACCAAACAUCAUAAAAGAGGCUAAGCGACUUACUUCAGCACCAGAGUUGCGGCGCUUGUUACAGUCAGCAGAAUGUUCCAUUGGAAGUGAUGAGGCAACAUCUUACGACCAUGAAAUGGCCUCCCUGUUGUUGCUCAUACAUCUCCUUCCACCACCACCAGGAGGACCGAAGUCUCCAAAAAUCAGUGCAUGUGAUGCCAUUGAGAGACUUGUUGUCUUUCAUAAG